AUGCCAUGAUGAGGACAUUUCUGCAAUAGUUCCUUGAACCUCUCCCAUGCCUCAUACAAAAACUCAUCUUUAGAUUGUUGAAAGGGAGUUAUUUCCUUUUGGAGCUU